rnacentral:rRNA from 1 species
AGGCGACGAUGCGUAGGGGUUCUGAGAGGAAGGUCCCCCACACUGGAACUGAGACACGGUCCAGACUCCUACGGGAGGCAGCAGUGAGGAAUAUUGGUCAAUGGGCGCAAGCCUGAACCAGCCAAGUCGCGUGAGGGAAGACGGCCCUACGGGUUGUAAACCUCUUUUGCCGGGGAGCAAGCCUGAGCACGUGUGCCCAGGCGGAGAGUACCCGGAGAAAAAGCAUCGGCUAACUCCGUGCCAGCAGCCGCGGUAAUACGGAGGAUGCGAGCGUUAUCCGGAUUUAUUGGGUUUAAAGGGUGCGCAGGCGGGCUGUUAAGCCGGCGGUAAAAAUUCAGGGCUCAACCCUGUCGAGCCGUCGGAACUGGCAGUCUUGAGUGGGCGAGAAGUAUGCGGAAUGCGUGGUGUAGCGGUGAAAUGCAUAGAUAUCACGCAGAACGCCGAUUGCGAAGGCAGCAUACCGGCGCCCAACUGACGCUGAGGCACGAAAGCGUGGGGAUCGAACAGGAUUAGAUACCCUGGUAGUCCACGCAGUAAACGAUGAGCGCUAACUGUCCGGAGCGAGCGAGCUCUGGGU